rnacentral:lncRNA from 1 species
AAGAAGAAGAAAAGGAGGAAAAGAAGAAAAGAAGAUAAGUAGAGAGAAGGGAAUACAACAACAACAAUGAUAAAGGAAAGAAGUUCGGCAGACAAUAAUUUGACGCAAAGUGCGAAUGAAGUAACAAAAUCUCCUUCUCAUUUUUCGAUUAACAAGAUGUACGUUACAAGACCCGGAGGGCCAGAAAAAGAAAAUAUUAUUACAAGACUCGAAAGGGAUACACCGGAGGCCACAUCGAGCUGUAGACUUCUCUUCCUGGUUCUGUCCUUCCCAGUAGCAUUUUCCAGUACAUGUGACAAGCCUCUCUCGGCUCUCGCCCCCCACCUCAUUCCGCUCCAUCUCCGAAAUCCCAACCCUAGGGGGAAAAGGAUGGGAUAGAAUUCAGGGGGCAGCA